UACGUAGGGCGCAAGCGUUGUCCGGAAUUAUUGGGCGUAAAGCGCGUGUAGGCGGCCUGUUAUGUCGGGUGUGAAAGCCCUCAGCUUAACUGAGGAAGUGCGCCCGAAACUGGCAGGCUUGAGUGUCGGAGAGGAUAGCGGAACACCCGGUGUAGAGGUGAAAUUCGUAGAUAUCGGGUAGAACACCAGUGGCGAAGGCGGCUAUCUGGACGACAACUGACGCUGAGACGCGAAAGCGUGGGGAGCAAACAGG
rnacentral:rRNA from 1 species